ACGACCGGCGCACGGGUGCGUAACGCGUAUAGAACCUACCUUUUACAGGGGAAUAGCCCAGAGAAAUUUGGAUUAAUGCCCCAUAGUAUUAUUGAUUGGCAUCAAUUAAUAAUUAAACAUUUAUGGGUAAAAGAUGGCUAUGCGUUCUAUUAGCUAGUAGGUAAGGUAACGGCUUACCUAGGCGACGAUAGAUAGGGGUCCUGAGAGGGAGAUCCCCCACACUGGUACUGAGACACGGACCAGACUCCUACGGGAGGCAGCAGUGAGGAAUAUUGGACAAUGGAGGCAACUCUGAUCCAGCCAUGCCGCGUGCAGGAAGACGGCCCUAUGGGUUGUAAACUGCUUUUAUACAGGAAGAAACCUUUCCACGUGUGGGAAGCUG
rnacentral:rRNA from 1 species